rnacentral:misc_RNA from 1 species
UUUUGCUCUCUCGCCAAGAUGUCUGUUACAAUGGGUUCCUUGUAAAAAUACAACACCUCUAAUUCAACAACAAAUUCCCGGAAUUGAACACAUCAUUGGGAGAAUAAAAUUUAGCAUCUCAAGUUCAUUUGUCAUAUCGAGCAUUUCUUCUUGCGCACUCCAAGAUAGUUUUGUCAGCAGUGAUGAAAUAAGCAGCAAUUGAUGCACCAGAGAUGAUGAGUGAUUGAGCAACGUAAUUGAGAUUCGCCUUUGCCCAAGGAAUCACGCGAACAGCAGUCAAAGUAGGGACAGCAGUGACAACACAAGUGAUAGCAGCUGCCUUAGCUCCGGCACGAGCACCUUCUUCAGUGCAACGUUUAGAUUCCAAAAUCCUCUUUUCCUCAGCUGGAGAAGGAAUCACAAAGGAAGCGUUAUACUUCUUGUUGUUUCUGAUUGUCUGUGCCAAGUAAUCUCUCAUUUCUGAUGGGAUCCCCAUUAUUUUCUUCCUUACAGUUUCAACUUCUUCAAAAUCAAAACGAAGUCAAUCUUCCUCUACAAAAUCAAAACAAGAAAAACGAAUCCAAUGGCAGCGAUCCAAUAGCUAGAAAGAAAGAGAGAGAGAGUCGGGUCGUGAUUGUACGUCUGCUAAGCGAAUUGGAUCGGCAUGGUCCUGCUAAAUAG